rnacentral:rRNA from 1 species
UACGGGGGGGGCAAGCGUUGUUCGGAAUUACUGGGCGUAAAGGGUUCGUAGGUGGCUUGCUAAGUCAGACGUGAAAUCCCUCAGCUUAACUGGGGAACUGCGUCUGAUACUGGCGAGCUUGAGUGCAGGAGAGGAACGCGGAAUUCCAGGUGUAGCGGUGAAAUGCGUAGAGAUCCGGAGGAACACCAGUGGCGAAGGCGACACGCUGGGCCGUACCUGACGCUAAAGCGCGACAGCAUGGGGAGCAAACGGG